rnacentral:lncRNA from 1 species
UUUUUUUUUUUUUGUCUUUUUGCCUUUUCUCCGACUACCCCUAGCCUGGGAACUUCCAUAUGCCGAGGGUGCAGCCCUAAAAAGACAAAAGACAAAAAAAAAAAAAAAAAAAAAAAAAAAGAGAGAGAGAGAGGAGUUCCCAUUGUGUCUCAGUGGUAACAAACCCAACUAGUAUCUAUGAGGACACAGGCUUGAUCUCUGGCCUUGCUCAGUGGGUUAAGGAUUCCGUGUUGCCCUGAUGUAGGUCACAGAUGUGGCUCCAAUCCCACAUUGCUGUGGCCAUGCUGUAGGCCAGCAUCUGCAGCUCCAAUUCGACUCCUAGCCUGGGAACCUUCAUGUGCCAUGUGUGUGGCCCUAAAAAGACAAAAAAAAAAAAAAAAAAAANNAAAAAAAAAAAAAAAAAAAAAGUGGGGAGGAUGUGAGAGACAGGGAGAGGGAGAGAGAGAAAUGACACAGAGAGACACAAGGAGAGAGAGCGACAAGGAGAGAGAUAUGGAUAAGAGACAGGGAAAGAGGUGGGGAGAGAGAGAGAGAGAUGAGAAAACAGAUCGAGACGAGGAGGGAGACAGAGACAGACACAAGGAAGAGAGCAGCAGAGAUAGAAACAGAGAAACAGGGAGAGAUGGAAGAAACAGACACAGAGAGGGAGAUAGAUGGAGAGAGAUAAAGAGACAGGGAGACAGUAGGAGAGACAGUGUGGGGAGAAUCAGAGAGAGACUUUGGGCCGUUUAAUCCCACUCCCCAGGUCUAGCUUGCAGACCCCUCCCUGCCCCCAACCAGACUGGUUCAGCUCAACAUACAGAUGGGAAAACUGAGGUCCCAAGCUCCCAACCUGCAGUUCCCCGGGUGGUGACACCAGCCAGGGCCUUAAGGAUGGAGAAAUAUUUGUAGGACCCCAAAGACUGAGGAGCAAGGAAUGAAAGGGACGCUGGUUCUUGGUGGGUUUUGGGUUUUGGAACCGGGCUUGUCUUAUAAGAAGAACCCAGCGUCUCAUAUCAGGCCAUGAACAUGACCUUGGGAUUAGCACAGACCUAAUAAGGUCAAGGGGGGAGGGUUGUUGUGGACACGGAGUGAGUGCAACCUGGGUCACUGCGAAUCUGAGGAUGGCCCAGGGACCUCUGUGCCUUCUUGACUGCAGGGUGUGUUUGAAAUUUUCCAUGACACAGAGCAGUUUUAAAUGACCUCUGGGCUCCUGAGGCCGAUCCCAGGCUUGAUGUCCAGGACUGAGGGAAAUCUCAGCUCUUCCUGGAGACUGGCCCAGAGGCGCCAGAGUGGGGGAUGCUGAGAAAACUCAGGGAAUGACCCGAGUCUGAGAUGGAGGCGCCAGACAGCCUCGAGGGGGCGGCUAGGAAUUCUACUCUCCACACCACCCCCCCAUUGAAGGAACAUGCUGUGCACAACCCCACACCUGCCAGAAGAAUGACUCCUUACUCCUGGGGGUGGGUGCUUGCAAAUGACAGAGUGAUCCCCCUCCCACGGGCCAGGCCACCUCCCUGGGAGUUGCUGGGGGAAGCUGGGGCUGGGGAGGGAGGGGCAGCGAGAAGUGAUGACCUGAGGCUUUAAGGGACUUUCGGACCCAUCUCAUUCUGAGUCUGGGGGACAGGGGCCGGCCUUGCUUUGACAUUCCUAAGGAAAUGGGCUGGAAUCAAAAUGACCAGAUCUGGAGAAACACAUCCUUUCACCAGGAAAAAAAAAAAAAAAUCUCUGAAAUUUCCACCUGGAGUGGGAACAGGAGGAUUUAUAGGCCAGGAGCUUAAAAUGAGCUUGACGUGCCUCCCCAAACAAGCAGAGGACUACACCAGCCAUGAGAAAGUGAGUCCAUCUGAACAAAAUGAAACGAAACAAAAUUUAGUAAUAAAGCAGGCAAAAUCAGAAAUACCAGAUAUAGGAAAAAAAAAAAAAAAAAAA